AACAGCAGUAUGAGGAAAGUCUUCCCUUCAGGCCUGGGUCUCAGCUGGGGACUGCUUCCUGUACAGGUCCAGCAACUUGAAGAGAAUUGAACUUCCUCCCAAGCUCUAUGAACCAGAGUCUCAGCUAUCAGGGAGAGGUGACAAUAGUCUAAAAUUGAUCAAUAGCAGGAAACCGGAGGACUGACAAAAACAAAGUGCAAAUGGGCCAGAAAAUAAUGAAGGGAGAGAAACUCGGAGUGAUACUGACCACAGUGUAAUCAUUCUAGAAAAGAAUGAAAGCCCCAAGAGGCCACUUGCCCAGUCUGAGCGCAACAGUGGUGCUCCAAGGACCAUCUGAUUCAGCUGCAUUCAGCCAUGUGAGAUCGAGGACAAGGAGAGCUAAGAUCAUUUAAACUUUUAAAGCCAGGAAGCGUGCUUUGCAACUCAGUCCUAAUGACAAUGCUUGGAGCUGGCAAUGUCCACUGGAACUAUUUGGCAAGGAAGCAUGGAAGCGAUGCUGUGAUAGAUAGGCAUAAUGGACUGCAGAAUAAUUUCUCGUCACUGAGGUGACUCACUUCCUGCCAACCCACAUUUUAACACUUAUUGGUAUCUUUUCCUCAUGGUUGUGAUAAUUACAGUUGCAUUAAAUGGCUGCAAGCAAUCAUAGUAAAAGUUACUACUGGUGCUGUUACUUUCCCAUGGGGAAAGGAGCAUCUAUUUCAAAGGAUUUGGUCUACUGUAUUUCAUCUGGAAGGUGGGAUCCACAUCUUUGCAUAAAGAAGUAAAGGGUGGUGGCUUGUGAAGGUAUUGUUGGGGCAAGAGACAGCUGCACUUUCUCAGACUGAAACAGUUUAUGUUGCAUUAGCACUGAUCAGCCUUCAAGUACUCUUUUGACACUAGGAACAUGCUCCCUCAGAAGCAUUCGUUGCUCUGCCUUCUGCUUUGUAUAUUAAACCUCUUCUCUCACUGCAUCUGCUGCUGGAAUGCCACCUCCAACUAUCUUCAGUGGCCACCAGGCCUCUGCUAGGCUAUGAGAACAGAAAUGAUAACCACAGCUGAGUGGGUCCUUUCAGCACCUAAACUUACCAACAAAAUUCCAAGUUAUCAAAACUGAAGAAAUUCCCUGUGAGGGGACAGGCAGAAUUGGAUUCACAUUUUCAGCUUGGGUAGAGUACUCGGCCAAGGCACUGACACCUUCAUUUAAUUAUCCUAAGAACAAGGUAUCUGUAGGUAACAGGUUUGUAUGCAUGCAUUAUAUUUUAGAUAAAAGCUGGGAAGCAGAGAGAUCUUAUCCUCUAGAACCCCAGACCCCAGUUUGCUCCAGUAGGAUAUGCUCUCAUCUGUAAUGAUGACAAGACUACAGUAUUUCAGGUCUUUAAUAUGACUGCUCCUCUUCAUUGACAGGAGCAGGAGAGAAACAGUUUUGCUUUGGGGAAAUUUCAGUAUCUCUUCAGGUCUGUGCCACUACAGAAGCGUGGCAUCCAGGGUGUUAUACAUAAUAUCUAUUUUCCUCUGUAAACAAAACAGAUUCCUCUAUAAAACAAAUAAAUAGAAGUAAAUUAAGUGCUUUCAAGUUUAAGACAGAUCUUGCUGGGAGCAUGAUGAAGAGACAAAAAAGAAAUAUUUGUUCUAGACAAAAGAAUCAUUGUUAUUCUUCAGAACAGGCUCAUUUCUCACAUUUAGCAUGGCACAUGGGAUGCAAAUCACUUACAGAAGAAGAAGAAAUAUGGGAAUGCUGUUCCUUCAUCCUAACAAGCUAAGACUAAAAGUCACUGCCUCCUAAAUGUGCUGUUAUCCCAGAGCUGUUUUGGUCACUGUUAUGAUGAGUUUCUGCCAGAAGUCAAGCAUUAAUGAACUACAUUCAUUGCACACCAGCACAUGAACGUGUAAUACCAUUACUAAUUGUUGAUAGGAAAUUUAACUUUUAAUGUAGAAAGAGAAAUGUAAUGAGGUUUCAGUGUGGCCUGGACUGUCUGCAAGGACACUUUAUUUACAGUGAGGCCUCACAUUGUUUAUUGCCAAGUUAAGGACUGUGCUAGUAGUUUUGUCUGUUGUCUGGCCAGAAGUUGGUUUUGUCUAGCCUUGACCACAAGACCUCAGCUUUUCUUAAAAAAAAAAAAAAAAAAAAAAAAAAACUUUUCUCUGGGAAAACUAAUGAACCAGCCCCUUUAAAUAUGGAGUAUGUGAAGUAAAAGAAACCCAUGGUGGACAGUUCAUCAAAUGAAAUGGUUUUUGACAAAAUGCAUACCUGAAAGCAAAUAUGUCCUAAGGGCAAUACUUUAUCCAUCAGAAGCAACAUCUUGGCUCAACAGAGUUGCCUAAGGGUUGGAUCCUUGCUCUGGCACUGUGCAAGCAUCUAGUUUUCAAGGAGUUGCCUCUGCUUCAUUCAGGAAAAAAAAGCAAACUAGCUUACUGUCUGGAAAAAACAGAGGCAACUUCUUUGAGCUAAGCAAAAGGAUGUGUAAAUGUGCAUUUAUGUCUGAACAUCUGAUUAGCAAUGCUCCACAUACUUAUAUUGAAAUAAUUAAUGUCUUUAUUUUUUGCCCAUAUACAAAUACAUAUAGCAUUAUUUUAACUAUUAUAUAUAUGAUGAUGCAUUAUAUAUGAAAUAAAUGGUUGGUAUUUCACACCAGUGAUAGUGGCAAUCCAUGCACAGGGUCAGAGUGUGGUCCCCAUCUCCAAGUGGAGGAUGGGGGGGCAUACUACAGCCAAGAGUAGAGGAUAGGGGACUGCCUGCACAAAGAGGUAGUCAGUAGGCAGAGGAGCACCUCUUCUCUGAGAUGUGUGGGAUGGGCUGGAUCUGGUCCUCAAGGGCCAAAAUGCUUCCAUUAUCAAAUUUUAGCUGGCUUGUUAAAAAUGAUUUAUUUGUUUAUUCCUACAUGCAAAAGAAAAGUUGAGAGCUUGACUCUCAGCCUUCUCAAGUAAUUUUGUAGGAGGUGUUCUGAGUAGGUGUAUACUGUUUCAUUUUGAGAAAAGUCUGACAUGCUUGCCUAGGAUUAGUGUUUCAAAUUUUAAUUCUUGGAAAUCUGGUCCAAGUCUGGGCAUUGACUAUCUCUCCCUUAAGAAAGCUAGCUGAUAUUCCUGUAGAACAUGCACUGCUUUGUGAAGAAGUUUCACAUACAAAGAAAAAGACAGGGAGUUGUACAUUACCUCAGCCUUUAACUUCAACCCACCAAGCUUUGCUAGUUAAUAGACAUGGGCUGAUUUUAUUUCAUUACAACUGGGCUGAUUUUAUUUCAUUACAACUUGUUCCUUGGCUAGUUAUAUUAAGUCUUUCUUUCUGAGCAUGAAAAAACUUUAAUGGUUCUUAAUUAACAUAUUAAACUAGUCAAAAGA